rnacentral:lncRNA from 1 species
UUCGUUCACAUGUUAGAUUUUUCAUACAUGUAGCAUGUAAGAAAACAAAGAAACAAUGGAAGCCCCAACCAAUGAUCCAAGAACAGGCAAGGUCGCGGCAGCCACGCUGGAAUCUGGUCCUGAUGCUGUGACGGAAGAAGGAGAGGAGCUAGGACUAGAACCACCGGCGGAAGGGGAAGAAGCAGGUGCACCGGCAGAUAAGAGCUUGUUAUAAAUGGAUUUAUUGAAGUGAUUCAUCAAUAGUGACUGCGCUAGUAAUUCCACUAUUAUUAGUUAACAGUAAUGAAAAAUUUAAAUUCCUUCAUAUUUAUUUCAUAUUCAUAGAGAUAAAGGACAUAAUACACAUGGAUAUAGUAAGUCUUCCUUGAGCUGCUUUAAUGGUAAUCUUUACAUUUUCCUUUUUCACUCAUAGUAUGGGAAGAAGUGGACUCUAGGUGUACCCCUAAUUGGAGUUGAGGAAUCAAACCAUAUAAUUUCUUGGAUUCUAAUGGAGUAAUAUUUUAUGAAUAACACAUUUUCAACCAAAAUCAAAUAAACAUUUCAAUAAUCUCCUCAUAUUUUAAAAGUAAUAGGGAUCCAAAUGAUAGGUAAUUAAAAAAAAAUUCCUAAAUUUUCUAUUUUGAUGAAUUUUCUAUUUUGAUCGAUGAACUAGUCCUUACUAGAGUUAUAAAAUAUAUAUUUUAAUCUCGAUUUUCCUAAAAAAAAAAAUUCAACUUCCCGCUGCAUUUAUCUAAUUACGUACUAUUUAUUAGUUCAAUAAUUCAUCGUUAUUUUCAUGUUAUUAGUUGAAUAAAUCGAAAAGUAAACGCAUAAACACAAAAUACUUUUCAAUUCAAAGCUCCAUUUCAAUUUUUUUCAAUAUUCAUCACAUGUUUCUUACAAAAAAUAAAAAAUAAGAUAAAAUAAAAUAUUCGUUCACAUGUUGAUUUCUCAUACAUGUAGCAUGUAAGAAAACAAAGAAACAAUGGAAGCCCCAACCAAUGAUCCAAGAACAGGCAAGGUUGAGGCAGCCACGCUGGAAUCUGGUCCUGAUGCUGGGGCGGAAGCAGGAGAGGAGCUAGGACUAGAACCACCGGCGGAAGGGGAAGGAGCAGGUGCACCGGCAGCCAUGACGGCGCUCAUUGAGGCAGCAGCAACAAUGAUGGCGGUGGAGACCUUCUUCAUGUCCAUGGCGUAUAAAUGGAUUAUUAAACGCACCGGAAAUGAACGAGACCUGCGUUUAAUUGCUGGAGAAUGGGGAUCCGCCGGUGAUUGUUAUUAUUUGCUUUGUUAUUGCAGGUCUGAAGAACAAUGAUGUUGGGGAGGAUCUUUUAUAGGUGAAAAUUCAUAGCUAUUUUUAGUGAUGAAAUUUAAAAAUCAAAUUACGUGUUUGGUUUUCGCAUGGUUUGCGGGAUAGACAUGCAAAUUUUUUAAUAUUCUUAACUAUUUUAAGAUAAUGCGAUUUUAAAAUUUAAGUUUGAAUGAUAAUUAAUUUUUAUUUAAAUUUAAUUAAAUUAUUUGAAUAUAUUUUAUUUUUAAAAUAAAAAAUUUAAUUUGGACCGAUAUGAUUCUUUUACGAAAUUUUAAUGGUAAAGUAAAGCAAGACGAUUCUAAUCAUUUAUAUGUAAAUAUUAUAUCAUAAAAUGUAUUAAAAAAUAUUAUAUAUUAUGAUAAAUGGUUGGAUGGUAAAUUUUAUUGAGAUGAAUAUAGGACUAUAAAUGUAAAAUUAUUAGUUAACUUUCCAUAUUUGGGGAAGAUUGAAUUUCGGUUCUUUUAUUAAAAAAAUAAAUAAAUUAAUUUUUAUAUAUUUUGAAAUAUACAAAUUAGCUCAUUCGUUAAAUUUUAUCUAUUAAAUGAUGACGUGAAUGGUUAAAUAUAUGUUGAAAAUUAUCUUUUACGGGUAUAUAAAAAGAGUCACCUAAUUAUGUCUUUGUUCUAUUUUAGUUACCCAACCAAGAAUUCGUUUGGAUUUAAGUUUACCUUCAGUGUGGCACGAUUUUGGCACUUUAUUGCCCAAUCGUGUUGCAAUCAAUCACUAGGAUGCAUAAAUGGGAUUCAAUUUCAUUGCACUGAGCUUUACUUUUUUAGUUUUGGCGGAUUACAACUCCACUAACUUUUUCUUUCCUCUUGUAUCUAGACCUAAUCAUUGGCCAAGCCACCCGGCCCGAAGACUCACUCAAAAAGUAAAAGUAUUUGUGCAAAAAUAUAGGCUCGAAAAAUAGGUUUUUGCAAAAAAAAACAAGGCCUACUUUCUAAACAAGUUGCAUUGGGCAAGCUUUUUUUGCCCUAGCCUCGGCCCAAUCCAACUUUGUAAAAAAAAACCUACUGCUUUUUGCUGCUAUUGCACUAUUUUUGCAGUUGUUUUGUCACUGUUUUGGUAUCGUUUCGCUAUUAUAUUACUAUUAUUUUGUUCUUAUUAAUUGGAUAUUGUAUAACUCUUAUUUUAUUGUUAAUUUUGCUACUAUUUUAGAGAAUUUGCUUGCUAAGUUGUACCUAUCUUAGUAUUAUUAUAAAUUAUUUUUUAAUUUAUUUUCAAUUAGCUGAGAAACAUUAAUUUUAAUACAGACAGGGCGGGUCAGGCUCAAGUUUUAACAUUUUUAUUCAAGCCAAAUUUGGACAAAAUUUUAAACUUAUUUUUUAAGUUGGGCCAAAAAACGGAUCAAAAAUUCUAUUGAAGCCUGAACCAUGAUUAACUCUAUUUGUAUCCGUGCACCAUUUGUUUUAUAUCCAUACUCCUUAUGCCAUGUUCAUUCUUCUUUUUUUUUUUUGUUUAUUUCUCUUUUAAUAAAUUAAAUAAUUUUUUUAUUUUUUAAUAAAUUAAUGUAUAUUUAUCAUUUAAUAUAAUAAAUUAUUUUAAAUGAUUAUAAAUUAAUUAAUUAAAAUAUUUAUAAAAAUAUUAUGAUACAUGUUAUUAUUUUAUUAAAUAAAAUUACAACUUCACAUAUUUUAAUAAUUUCAUAAAAAUAAAAUAAUUUACAACUUCUAUUAUAUAUUAUUUCUAAUAAUGAUAAAGAAAAUUAUUUCCAACUUAAUAUCCUCACAUCACCGUUACAGCUAUGUUUGAAUUCAAGCACAUACCCAAUCACUAUUUUUAACCUCAUCGGAGCGAAUUCAGGAUGGGUUGGCAGGGCAUCGGCCUCCCCUAAAAUAAAAUUUUUUUCAUUUAGCUCUUUUUAUAAUUUUUAAAAUUUUAAAUUAACAAUAAUAAAAUUAUACUUUGUCCCUUCAAAAUGAUAAAAAAUUUAUUUAAUCUUUUAAUAUUUUCAUGUUUAAAAUUUAAAAAGUUAAUUCAACUACUUUAAAAAGAUUUUCCAACUUCAACCCACAUUUAUCUAAUUACAUAGUAGUUAUUAGUUCAAUAAUUCAUUGUUAUUUUCAAGUUAUUCAUUGUUUUGAAUAAAUCUAAAAGUAAAAGUAUAAACACAACAUACUUUCCAAAGCUCCAUUUCAAUUUUUUAAUAUUCAUCACAUGUUUCUUACAAAAUAAAAAAUAAAAUAAAAUAUUCGUUCACAUGUUAAUUUUUCAUACAUGUAGCUUACUGCAGCAUGCAAGAAAACAAAGAAACAAUGGAAGCCCCAACCAAUGAUCCAAGAACAGGCAAGGUUGCGGCAGCCACGCUGGAAUCUGGUCCUGAUGCUGGGGCGGAAGCAGGAGAGGAGCUAGGACUAGAACCACCGGCGGAAGGGGAAGGAGCAGGUGCACCGGCAGCCAUGACGGCGCUCAUUGAGGCAGCAGCAACAAUGAUGGCGGUGGAGACCUUCUUCAUGUCCAUGGCGUAUAAAGGGAUUAUUAAACGCACCGGAAAUGAAUGAGACCUGCGUUUAAUUGCUGGCGAAUGGGGAUCCGCCGGUGAUUGUUAUUAUUUGCUUUGUUAUUGAUGGUCU